GGUGCCUCAGUGCUCCUUUUACUAGUUUAUCUCUAAGCUGUCUUCAAACCUCCUUGAAAGCUAACAUCAUCCAUGGGCAAUCAGGAUCUCAGAGCAGAGAGGGCUGCUACCGAGUCUUGAGCAACACAGGGAGGAAAGUCUGCCAGCACUCCUCCAACCUUCAGCAGCCACUCCAGACACAAGCCAAAGGCAGGAGAUGCAGCAGGUGUGGAAGUGUAACUGGACCACGAACUCUACGUUCUUAUUUUGGAGCUAGUGGAAUAGGACAGACCUACCAGUCCUGAGCUUCAAGCUGCUGUAC
ensembl:lncRNA